rnacentral:pre_miRNA from 1 species
CCUCUCUCCCUGCAGCAUCUCAGGGCACUGUGUGACUUGGGUCGGGGGUGGGGUGGGGGGGUUGG